CCCACCGAGCGGUCAUCGGACAAACAUCGUUAAAGUUGUUGUUUGUUUGAUGAUACUUUACUCUUCUAUUUUGCGUUUUGUGGCACGAGCAAAGAUGUUAGACAUUUGAAAAUACCUUUUUUUACCAUCCUCGAAGGAUCUUUUGUCCAUUGUCUCUUCACUUUGAGGUUGGAAAAAAGAAGCUGAGUAUCAAGACUUUUGUGCACACGAGAGAAGUAUGUACGCCCUACUGGCUCGCACUUGGGCAAGGCGGACCAGCUGGACCUGUAACACACAAAGCGGAUUGAAGAAAUACUAAUACUGCAAAAAUAGGUGACAUAGUGGCCAUUCAUACAAGUCUACCGCUGUGGACAGGCACUGCCUUCAGAGCAUACAAGCUCUUCUAUAAAAUAAACAAACUUUAGGACUCUUGUCAAGUUACAAAUAUUCCGAAAAUCUGAGACAACUUCGGAAAGGAGGGAGAGGGGGUUAAGGGAAGGGCAAAAGAAAAUUGAAAAAAUGAACCAUGUCUUUUUGUGUGUAGAUAUUGUGCCAAGAUGUUAGAAUAAAAGCUGCAAAUAUA